rnacentral:rRNA from 1 species
GGGGAUAAGCUCCGUCGUCGAGAGGGAGACAGCCCAGACCGUCGUCCAAGGUCCCGAAGCGUGUGCUAAGUGGGAAAGGAUGUGGAGUCGCAUAGACAGCCAGGAGGUUGGCUCAGAAGCAGCCAUCCUUGAAAGAGUGCGUAACAGCUCACUGGUCUAGUGGUUCCGCGCCGACAAUGUAGCGGGGCUCAAGCACACCACCGAAGACGCGGCAGCAAUCUUCAUGGUUGCUGGGUAGGAGAGCGUCCCCUGAGGGGCGAAGCGGCGGUGGAAACCGGCCGUGGACUUCAGGGGAGUGAGAAUGCAGACAUGAGUAGCGAGAGACGGGUGAGGAUCCCGUCCGCUGGAUGACCAAGGGUUCCGGGGCCACGUUCGUCGUCCCCGGGUGAGUCGGGUCCUAAGGCGAGGCCGACAGGCGUAGUCGAAUGGAUGAACGGGUGGAUAUUCCCGUACCGACCAUGGACCGGCAAAACCGAGACGGUGAGUACUAACCUCCGCCUCGUGGUGGUUCCUUCCUUCGGGUUGGCUCCGUCGCGUGGCGUUGGGACCGCAGCCGCAGUAGGUCAGCGCAGGGGUGACACGGAAUGGGAGCCGGCCGCGGAGGUGGUUUUCCGUGGUCAAGCACGCAGCCAGUCGCACAGGCAAAUCCGUGCGGCAUGCAUGGCGAGGUGCGAUGAUGGGAGCCGUUAUGGCUCGAUAUCCGGUUGUCCAGGCCGUCGAGAAAAGCCUCGGCGCGAGGGCCAUGGCCGCCCGUACCCCAAACCGACACUGGUGGUCAGGUAGAGAAUACCAAGGCGAUCGAGCGAAUCCUGGUCAAGGAACUCGGCAAAUCACUCCCGUGCCUUCGGUAUAAGGGAGACCCAUUGGGGUGAACGGCCUCGCGCCGGGAGCCUUGGUGGGUGGCACAGACCAGGGGGUAGCGACUGUUUACCAAAAACACAGGUGCAUGCGAAGGCGAAAGCCGCUGUAUAUGCACUGACGCCUGCCCGGUGCCGGAAGGUUAAGAGGAUCCGUCAAUCCCUUCGGGGACGAAGCGGUGAAUUCAAGCCCCGGUAAACGGCGGUGGUAACUAUAACCAUCCUAAGGUAGCGAAAUUCCUUGUCGGGUAAGUUCCGACCUGCACGAAUGGCGUAACGACUUCCCCACUGUCUCGACCAGGAGCUCGGCGAAAUUGCAGUACGAGUAAAGAUGCUCGUUAAGCGCAGAAGGACGAAAAGACCCCGGGACCUUUACUAUACCUUGGUAUUGGCGUUAGGCGCGGAUUGUGUAGCAUAGGCGGGAGGCUUCGAAGCGGGUGCGCCAGCAUCCGUGGAGCCGCAAGGUGAAAUACCGCUCUGUUCUCGUUUGACGUCUAACCUCGACAAGUCAUCCUUGUCAGGGACAGUGCCUGGCGGGUAGUUCAACUGGGGCGGUUGCCUCCCAAAGAGUAACGGAGGCGCUCAAAGGUCCGCUCAGCCCGGUUGGCAAUCGGGUGUCGAGUGUAAUCGCACAAGCGGGCUUGACUGCGAGGACGACGGUCCGAGCAGGGACGAAAGUCGGAGAUAGUGAUCCGGUGCCGGCGCACGGGCGCGGCAUCGCUCAACGGAUAAAAGGUACCCCGGGGAUAACAGGCUGAUCAUUCCCAAGAGUCCAUAUCGACGGGAUGGUUUGGCACCUCGAUGUCGGCUCGUCGCAUCCUGGGGCUGGAGCAGGUCCCAAGGGUUCGGCUGUUCGCCGAUUAAAGCGGCACGCGAGCUGGGUUCAGAACGUCGUGAGACAGUUUGGUCUCUAUCCUCUGCGCUCGUUGGAAUCCUGAGGAGGCCUGCCCAUAGUACGAGAGGACCUGGGUGGACGAACCUCUGGUAUGCCGGUUGUCACGCCAGUGGCACGGCCGGUUGGCUACGUUCGGGAGGGAUAACCGCUGAAAGCAUCUAAGCGGGAAGCCUGCUCCAAGAUUAGGAUUCCGUACAGUCCUGAACUGUUGUAGCCCGCAUGUUGAACACGUGUUUGAUAGGCCGGGGGUGGAAGUCCCGUGAGGGAUGGAGCCGACC